GGUUACGUUUGUGACGUUUUCUUAUUGUUGCCUCGUUUUCGUCGUUACACGGUUGCGUUUAGGACGUUUUUUUCUUUAGCCUCAUUUUCACUGUUUCAUAGAUACGUUUGUGACGUUUUCUUACUGUCGCCUCGUUUUCAGCUCUAAGUUUGCGUAGCCUCGCUUUCAUCGAAACAGGGUUUGUUUAAGUCACGUUUUCAUCAGAAAACGAAUGCGUUUGUGAAUGUGGGGGAGUAAGCAGUUGACAGUAUGCAAUUGACAGUAAGCAGUUGACAUUCCAUCUGUUACUUUCCUACCAAGUGCGACAUUUAGCGUCAAGGGGUUGCGACAUUUAGCGGCAAUCGAUUUUUGUGCGACAUAUAGCGGCAACGUUGCGACAUUUAGCGGUAGGCGAUUGCGACAUAUAGCGUUGAUUGCGACAUAUAGCGUCAGCGUUGCGACAUUUAGCGUUAGUUGCGACAUAUAGCGGCGUUGCGACAUAUAGCGUUGCUAC